rnacentral:tRNA from 1 species
GGGCCGUUAGCUCAGUUGGUAGAGCAGUUGGCUUUUAACCAAUUGGUCGCUGGUUCGAGUCCAGCACGGCCCACCA